rnacentral:rRNA from 1 species
GUGUCAGCCGCCGCGGUAAUACGGAGGGUGCAAGCGUUAAUCGGAAUUACUGGGCAUAAAGCGCACGCAGGCGGUUUGUUAAGUCAGAUGUGAAAUCCCCGGGCUCAACCUGGGAACUGCAUCCGAUACUGGCAAGCUUGAGUCUCGUAGAGGGGGGUAGAAUUCCAGGUGUAGCGGUGAAAUGCGUAGAGAUCUGGAGGAAUACCGGUGGCGAAGGCGGCCCCCUGGACGGAUACUGACACUCAGAUGCGAAAGCGUGGGGAGCAAACAGGAUUAGAUACCCGUGUAGUCC